rnacentral:rRNA from 1 species
UUGGAGGGCAAGUCUGGUGCCAGCAGCCGCGGUAAUUCCAGCUCCAAUAGCGUAUAUUAAAGUUGUUGCAGUUAAAAAGCUCGUAGUUGAAUUUCGAGACCGGCUUACUGGUCGUGCUAUUGUACGUACUGGUAUAAUCGGUUUCUCCUUUCUGACGAACUUUAAUGCCAUUAAUUUGGUGUUUUAGGGAAUCAGGACUGUUGCUUUGAAAAAAUUAGAGUGUUUAAAGCAGGCUCACGCUUGAAUACAUUAGCAUGGAAUAACGGAAUAGGACGUUUGAUUCUAUUUUGUUGGUUUCUAGGAUCGACGUAAUGAUUAAUAGGGAUAGUUGGGGGCAUUAGUAUUCAAUUGUCAGAGGUGAAAUUCUUGGAUUUAUUGAAGACUAACUACUGCGAAAGCAUUUGCCAAGGAUGUUUUCAUUAAUCAAGAACGAAAGUUAGGGGAUCGAAGACGAUCAGAUACCGUCGUAGUCUUAACCAUAAACUAUGCCGACUAGGGAUCGGAUGAUGUUAAUUUUUUAAUGACUCAUUCGGCGCCUUACGGGAAAC